GUCGAAUUGAAAAUGGAAUGUAGUAGAAGUAGUAGUAACGUGAAGAGAACAGCAGUUUUGUUGCAAACGCGUUUACUUAGACGCGUCGCUCUCGUAUCUUGCACGCUCUUUUGGCUUCGUUUGCAACAGCUGUCUCUCUGUCACACAUGAAUCCUCUUCUUAACCUACGUAACCGACCUGUAGCCUCACCUGUUACAUAUGACAGAAAAAUAACAAAUUUAAUUUAUUUAGCUACUAGUUUCAUCCGUAGCCAGUAUCUAUUAAUGUAUAUGACUAAA